UAACAGCUGAUCUGAUUCAGUUUCUCCUGU
rnacentral:piRNA from 1 species